UGGUUACUUUCCGGAAAGAUAAAGUUUGGGAUCAAGAAGCUCAAGUUUGAGACCCAGAUCCAUCUACUAACUCUGCUAUUAACUCUGUACCAUUAGAUUGGAAGUUACUAGGGAACAUUACACGGUUCUCAGAAUCACCAGGAGAACUGGAGAAACAGGCUACUGAAGACCAAGGAAGGAUCAACUUGAAGAAUAACCAUAAUUUCACCAAGAACAAUGUUUAAAAAAAGGCAUUUCAGACUGUGAUAAUAGGGGAAGUAAAAGUGUAAAUUUCCAGUGGAUGAAGAUGGCUGUGUCUCCUAAUCAAUAACCAGCAAAAUUAAACAACAAAAAAAGAGCAGAUAUGUAGAUAUUCUUCAGGCCAGGAUGAGGGUAAAUGGCUUGCCCACUGCAUAUGGAAGUGUUGUUCUACAGAGACUGCUCUUCAUCUACUGAAAACCGGUCCUGUGCUGUUCUUUGGAUCACUAAGUGUUGAUAAUUUUGUACUUCUCUGUUCAUUCUUGUUGACUCCACCACCUUUGUGAUACUCUACAGAAAUUAUAAUAUGGUUAGAGAAGGAGAAGAUAACAUUUGCAGUCAUUAAACAUAAAUUUCCUACUUCUUACCGAGGCCCACCAUUCCCUCUCAUCCCUACCACACACAACCUCUUCAGGAGCACAAAUUGUAAAUCUCAUUCCUAUCAAGGCCAGAAUAAUAUGAAAUCAAGUUUUUAACUUUGUUUCCUUUUCUUCUCAAAUCAUUCACUAGCACUUGUUAACAAGAGGGACACUGAAUAUGGAGUCAGAUAGACCCAGGUAGAACUCCUGGCUUGGCUACUUAUGGCUUUAGGAAUGUUACUUGUCUGUUAGAUGGUUUCUGCAACUGGAAAAUGAUGAAGGGAAUGCUUCCUUGCAGAGUUGGCCACCUGAUCAUAUGAAGCAGCACAAGCAAAAGUGCACAUAAUAGGCUGUCAAUAUAUGUUCCUUGCUUUCAUAUAUAGUUAUAGCAACUCUAUUGUAACCUAAGUAGUGCAUAUGGUAGGCUAUACUGUCCCAAAGCUAGUGCUACUAACCAUUAGGUUAAGAUGGUCUCAAUGGUGCUUUAACAGUUGGCAUUACUUCAGUAUUCUUAAGUCUACCUGACGUUUGAAAUCCAGGGUGCUAUGGAGAAAGCCCCGACAACCAGCCAUGGGUCUCUGAAAAUGAUUUAUUUUCCAAUCUGCAACUCUAAGGAUGGAGACCGGGUGAAAUUUAUAUUUCUCCACUGGGCCACAAGUGUGUUUCCUGUGAGAUAGAUGCUCAAUAUCUGUCAACAAAUGACAUUGAUAUGCACAUCUUCUUCUUCCUUACCCAAUCCUAAGCAAAUGUCUUAUGCUGUGUCUGUGAAUUAUAUAACGUACCAACUCUUCCCAAUAAAACAAAA
rnacentral:lncRNA from 1 species